AUUUGUUAACCAGGAUUUUUGAGAAUGUAUGCUUUCUCUUUUCUUUAGAAAAGUCAAGAUGCACAUUGAUUCCAACAGUGAAGUGACAAGGAUUUACAAUGUGACUGGUACUCUCAGAGGAGCCAUGGAACCAGACAGAUAUGUCAUUCUUGGAGGUCACCGAGACUCAUGGGUCUUUGGGGGCAUUGACCCUCAGAGUUGAGCAGCUGUUGUUCAUGAAAUUGUGAGGAGCUUUGGAACACUGAAAAAGGAAGCAUGGAGGCCUAGAAGAACAAUUUUGUUUGCAAGCUGGGAUGCAGAAGAAUUUGGUCUUCUUGGAUCUACUGAGUGGGCAGAGGUUAGUGAAUAAUUUGCUAUAAUGUUAAAUUUCAUAGUAACAAAGCAGU
rnacentral:lncRNA from 1 species